GAUGAACGCUGGCGGCGUGCCUAAUACAUGCAAGUCGAGCGAACAGACGAGAGUGCUUGCACUCUCUGACGUUAGCGGCGGACGGGUGAGUAACACGUGGGUAACCUACCUAUAAGACUGGGAUAACUUCGGGAAACCGGAGCUAAUACCGGAUAAUAUUUAGCUUCGCAUGAAGCAAUAGUGAAAGACGGUUCUGCUGUCACUUAUAGAUGGACCCGCGGUGUAUUAGCUAGUUGGUGAGGUAACGGCUCACCAAGGCAACGAUACAUAGCCGACCUGAGAGGGUGAUCGGCCACACUGGGACUGAGACACGGCCCAGACUCCUACGGGAGGCAGCAGUAGGGAAUCUUCCGCAAUGGACGAAAGUCUGACGGAGCAAUGCCGCGUGAGUGAAGAAGGUUUUCGGAUCGUAAAACUCUGUUGUAAGGGAAGAACAAGUACGUUAGUAACUGAACGUACCUUGACGGUACCUUACCAGAAAACCACGGCGAACUACGU
rnacentral:rRNA from 1 species